CAGGAUUAGUGCUCUACAAAGGGCGGGUAGGAGCAUUAUAGUGAGAUGGAGACUCUCCAUAGGAGGCACCCAUACAUCCCAGCUGCGGGGAGGGGAGGGGGAGGCAUUGCGGCCCGGCCAAGUUUGCUGAGCAGCCGACUCACCCUGGACACGGGCGUCAAAACCGACAGCAGCGCGGGUGCGUGCAGGGCGAGCUGCAAUACCACAGCCCGCGCGUUAAACGGGAAAUGAAACAGAAAUGGAAAUGAACGCCCGCAUCUGUCCCGUUUUUAAGGUAAAGGCAGAAAUCACCUCGUGUCUCCCAGUCCGGCCACGUUCACCCAAGGAAGGUGGGGAGAAGUCAAUGUCCAGGGAAAAUGUGCAACCAUCAUCUGCAAACGAAGAGUGGGAAAUCCUACGGGAUACGGUGAUGGAGCAAAAGGGGGGGAUGGAAAACAUCUGUACGUCGGUUGAGCAUCGGGAGCCUUUGUGCCCGAGUCGUUUUGGAAGGCGGAGGGGCAUCGGGACUUCCCGUCCCUCCCUGUGCCCUUCCUGUGUUGCGCAGCGGUCACAGAGAAGGACGCACCGGGGAGCGCUGGGCACAGCCGUGUCCCCGAAAUUUGCACCUGCAAAGAGGGAGCGAGCCAGGCGAGGGGAAUGUGCGACCGGAUGGAGAAAUAUCGAAUGUUUCUGGCCGUGUGCGUUGCCAGAGGUUUGCACAUUUUGUCUGAAAACACCCAGAGUUAGAGGCGGAGAGGAGGGAGGGGGGAUUUUAAUAAAAACCAUUUGCCACUUGUCUUCAAUUAGAGUCCAGACAUCGAGCAAUAAGGAAAAAACCUUUUCUAAAAUAUGUAUAUUUAUAUAUAUAUAUAUUAUUAUUAUCUCGCUAG
ensembl:lncRNA